CAGAGGGCAGAAUUGAUAUGUAUAUGUAGGAGAAGGGGUUUAAUUUUUGCUCUCUUGAGGUAGCAUCUUGUAGCAUAUUAAGUUCCAGACAGAGGGUGGUUUUUUCACUAACCUGUUUGUAAAACAAGUGAGUGACAUGAAACCACUGUCUUAAUAACUGAUGUCUCAUUUAUAACUACUGUUAAGAACUGAGAAUGGGAAAUCAGAAGAUUUCAGCAUUCCUGUUGCACUACACAGUGGGAAAUUGGAGGGCAUGGUCUCUAUUCAGGGAAAAUGUAAUGAUGACAUCAGACUUCCCUGUAAAGCUACUGACCAAACAGACAAAAGAAUCCUAUCAUCAAGAGAAAAAAAAAAAUCAAUAUUACACUCUAUAACAACUUCACUUAUGUGUCUCUGGGAGAGAAAUAGUCCCUGGAGUUACAUAAUGUGAUGCCUUUGGACUCUGGAGAUUAUGAGUGCUACCUGACUGCGGACGUUGGGGGUCGAAAUGAAGAAUAUUUUAUUAUAUUGAAUAUCUCAGAAUGUGUGUAUAAGAGCACAGUUUAUCCCACCACCAUGAUCACUGCUGUGUCCUGCCCUUCUGUAGCAGAAUUAUCUGUUCACUGGGCUGUGAUUGGCCUCACUCUCUUCAGCCUAGGCAAAAUCAUACUUUGCAUUGUAUCUAUGGGGGUGUGUGAAUGAGUCAUGUUCAGAAGAGUAAAAAGAAAACAGGAAGUAAGGGGAAGCAGGAGAGGAACAAGUUGAUAUUCAAAGACUGAAAUUUACACAAAGCCGAUGGGGACGUUUUUACAUUUCCAUUAGCCAAGCUAAAACAAUUCAAACCUUUAAACAUUUAAAGGAUCAAUUGCAUCAUUAUGUUGGGCUGAUGAGAUUUUUUUAUUUUCUGUGUGGCUGUGUUAUUCUGAAUGACUUUUUAUAGAUAGUUAAUUCUAUAAAAUUGGCUGUUUUAUGGCUGUUGAGUGAGAGAGUUGCAGAAAGUUUCUAAUAAUUAGGCCUUUUUUUUCUGGCAUAGCCAAAGCACACUAUCGAGUUUUAUAUUUUUCCCUACAGUUAGCAGUUUUACAUCCUAUACAUAUUUUUGUUUUAGACUGUCAUUUCAAAAUUUUAGAUAAGACAACAGACAACACUGUUUUUAGACAAUAUGAUUAAAAAUGUUUUCGUCCCAAGGGGAAAAUACAGCAAUAUGUAUUUUAAUGUUUAAAAUCUGAAAACCUACAUUAAUGGUACACUUUAUAUCUGGUUAACAUUUUACUUUUAUAUACACUCACUUAGCACUUUCUUAGGAACACUAUGGUCCUAAUAAUGUGCCCGAUGUGGCCUUCUGCUGUUGUAGCCCAUCCGUCACAAGGUUCAACUUGUUGUGUAUUCUGAGAUGCUCGUCUGGCAGCAACAAUCAUGCCACAGUCGAAAACACUGAGAUCACAUUUUUCCCCCAUUCUGAUGGUUGAUGUGAACAUUAACUGAAGCUCCUGACCUGUAUCUGCAUGAUGUUAUGCAUUGCACUGCUGAAUUGCAUGAAUAAGUAAGUGUACAGAUGUUCCUAAUAAAGUGCUCAGUGAGUGUGUAUAUAUAUGCAGUACUGUGCAAAAGUUUUAGGCACUUGUGAAAAAUGUUGCAUAGUGAGGAUGUCUUCAAAAAUAAUGCCAUAAAUAGUUUUCAUUUAUCAAUUAACAUCAUACAAUGUCCAGUAAACAUAAAAAAAAGCUAAAUCAAUAUUUGGUGUGACCAACUUUGCCUUUAAAACAGCACCAAUUCUCCUAGGUACACCUAGACACAGUUUUUCUUGGUUGUUGGCAGAUAGGAUGUUCCAAGCUUCUUGGAGAAUUCACCACAGUUCUAUCUAUUUAGGCUGUCUCAGUUGCUUCUGUUUCUUUAUGUAAUCUCAGACUGACUCGAUGUUCAGUGGGGGGCUCUGUGGUAGCCAUGCCAUCGGUUGCAGGGCUCCCUGUUCUUCUAUUCUAAUCUUUUCUAUUUGCAAAAAUAAUGUUUGUGAGUCUAACAUUUAUAUUUCCUAUUGACACACUAAAGCUGAAGAUAUAAAUAACCAUCUUAAGACAAAUGUUUUUGUGAAACAUCUUAAGUGCCUAAAACUUUUGCACAGUACUGCAUAUAUACACUACCGUUCAAAAGUUUGGGGUCACUUGCCUGAAAUGUUUCUCAUGAUCUUAAAAACCUUUUGAUCUGAAGGCGUAUGCUUAAAUGUUUGAAAUUAGUUUUGUAGACAAAAAUAUAUUUGUGCCAACAUAUUAAUUUAUUUCAUUAUAAAAACUAAAAUUUAAUAAAUAAAAAUAAAUGUUUUUGAAAUUGAUGACUUGGACCAAAUAAUAAAGAAAAGCAGCCACUAAGUGCCAGGCAUUUAGAUGGGAACUCCUUCAAUACUGUUUAAAAAGCAUCCCAGGGUGAUACCUCAAGAAGUUGGUUGAGAAAAUGUCAAGAGUACAUGUCUGCAAAUUCUAGGCAAAGGGUGACUACUUUGAAGAUGCUAAAAUGUAACACAGUUUUGGUUUAUUUUGGAUUUUUUUAGUCACAACAUAAUUUCCAUAUUUCCAUUUCUAUUAUUCCUUAGUUGUGAUGGCUUUACUAUUAUUCUAA